UACGUAGGGUGCAAGCGUUGUUCGGAAUUAUUGGGCGUAAAGAGCUCGUAGGCGGUCUGUUGCGUCGGCUGUGAAAACCCGAGGCUCAACCUCGGGCCUGCAGCCGAUACGGGCAGACUAGAGUUCGGCAGGGGAGACUGGAAUUCCUGGUGUAGCGGUGAAAUGCGCAGAUAUCAGGAGGAACACCGGUGGCGAAGGCGGGUCUCUGGGCCGAUAACUGACG
rnacentral:rRNA from 1 species